rnacentral:lncRNA from 1 species
AAUUCAGUUUUGAAUAAAUACAGCAAUCCAUUAUUUCUUUUAGUGAGGCAAAUACCUCUACAUUCUUACAUUCUUGCAGAACUUUGUCUUGCUAAUUAUGAAAAUCUGUCCUAGCUCAUAUUUCACAUAGAUUCAUUUUUUAAAAAAGAACUAUAAAACAUAUUUUUAUGUAAAAUAUUCCUUUGCUCAUGGUUAUUAUGUAGUACAGUACUCUAACAUCCUGCAUUUGAGGACUUUCUCUUGCAGAAUCAUCUCCUUUCCUUGGAACUCAAACCUACAACUUUGUCUUGUCCAACAUCAGCAUUGUAUGUAAGAGCUCCUCCUUCACAGUGAGAGGGUCAAAAACACCAGAUAUGCCAAAAAGACCUAAAAGAUGAAUCAUAAUAUAAAUUAUUAAAAAUGUUUUGAUAACAGAAGCCAAUAAUAAAACCAAUGCAAAGUCUCAAAUCCUGCUCAACAGACAAAGACCAGAGACCAGGAAGAUAAUUAAAAGAGACUACAUUGAAAAAUAAAUCAGGGUACAAAGCUAAGAGUAUGUAACCUUGAUACAUGAAUCUUGAUAUGAUAACCUUGAUAAAUGAACCCAGGGAAAGAGGUUGGGCUCCAAUGGUGAAAAAGUAUAAACUCUGAUCCACCACCCACAGCCUCAGGCUGUUCUAACUAAAAGCCAUCAGAGGCAUGGUUCAUUAGCAGGUCAAGCUGGUUUAAGAAGCCAGGGAAAGGCAAAUGCAAAACUUUCUUUCUAGAAACAUUCCAUCUCCCUGUUCUCCGAAUAUGCCUUAACAAUACUUUAUCCAUAUCUUUGUUAUUCCUAUACUCAAGAAUAUCUCCCUCUAUUUUCUAUCUAUACCAAUCCAUUUUGUUUUUGAAGACCUGGUUUCUCAGCACCACUCAGCUUCUCUCUAUACAAAAGUACUCAUUGAUCUGACCACAUAUUUUGGUGCCUAAGAAUUUUCUGUAACAUGAUGUUACCACGGGUAUGUAAAUGUAUGUACACAUAAUCAAUUUGAAGGUGAGUCCACACAUUUUUACCUCCUCAUUGCCUAGAAUAUUAGUAUUCCAUGCUUAUUAGUAAAUGCUCAAAAUAUUGCUAUUUUUUGAGUGAGUGGCAAUAUGGAAAAAUAUGAGAACAGAUAUGAAAGAUAUCAAAGAAACAUUGAGAAGCUAAAUGAUGUGCCUAAAAAUGCCAACUAUGAAAUUAUUUUUUAAUUAUUAAAAGUGUUAAUAAAAUAAAUUGAUCAAAGUUUUUUAAAUUUAGUUUUGUUAUAUGCCAUAGUCAUUUGAAAGAUCCCAUUUGCAAUAAGAAAAACUACAUAAACUAUUGAAGAAGAAUUACUAAGAAAUGAAUUUGUC